rnacentral:rRNA from 1 species
GAUGAACGCUGGCGGUGUGCCUAAUACAUGCAAGUCGAGCGAACAGACGAGGAGCUUACUCCUCUGACGUUAGCGGCGGACGGGUGAGUAACACGUGGAUAACCUACCUAUAAGACUGGGAUAACUUCGGGAAACCGGAGCUAAUACCGGAUAACAUGUUGAACCGCAUGGUUCAACAGUGAAAGACGGUCUUGCUGUCACUUAUAGAUGGAUCCGCGUCGCAUUAGCUAGUUGGUAAGGUAACGGCUUACCAAGGCAACGAUGCGUAGCCGACCUGAGAGGGUGAUAGGCCACCUUGGAACUGAGACACGGUCAAGACUCCUACGGGAGGCAGCAGUAGGGAAUGUUCCGCAGUGGGCGAAAGCCUGACGGGGCAACGCCGAGUGAGUGAAGAAGGUCUUCGGAUCGUAAAACUCUGUUAUUAGGGAAGAACAGAUGUGUAAGUAACUAUGCACGUCUUGACGGUACCUAAUCAGAAAGCCACGGCUAACUACGUG